rnacentral:rRNA from 1 species
UACAGAGGAUGCAAGCGUUAUCCGGAAUGAUUGGGCGUAAAGCGUCUGUAGGCGGCUUUUUAAGUCCGCCGUCAAAUCCCAGGGCUCAACUCUGGACAGGCGGUGGAAACUACCAAGCUUGAGUACGGUAGGGGCAGAGGGAAUUUCCGGUGGAGCGGUGAAAUGCGUAGAGAUCGGAAAGAACACCAACGGCGAAAGCGCUCUGCUGGGCCGACACUGACACUGAGAGACGAAAGCUAGGGGAGCGAAUGGG